rnacentral:rRNA from 1 species
GGGUGUGAUCAUACCAGCAUUAAUGAACCAGAUCCCAUAAGAACUCCGUAGUUAAGCACGCUUGGGCUAGAGUAGUAUUGGGAUGGGAGACCUCCUGGGAAGUCCUAAUGGUGCACCCU